GGACCUGACUGCUAUCGGAUUGAUACUAAGCCAUGCGAGUCAUUGUAGUAAUACAAGGCAGACGGCUCAGUAACGCGUAGUCAACCUACCCUAUGGACGGGGAUAACCUCGGGAAACUGAGAAUAAUACCCGAUAGAACAUUAUGCCUGGAAUGGUUUAUGUUUCAAAUAAUUUAUUGCCGUAGGAUGGGACUGCGGCCUAUCAGUUUGUUGGUGAGGUAAUGGCCCACCAAGACUAUUACAGGUACGGGCUCUGAGAGGAGUAGCCCGGAGAUGGGUACUGAGACACGGACCCAGGCCCUAUGGGGCGCAGCAGGCGAGAAAACUUUGCAAUGUGCGAAAGCACGACAAGGUUAAUCCGAGUGGUUUCUGCUAAAGGAACCUUUUGUCAGUCCUAGAAACACUGAUGAAUAAGGGGUGGGCAAGUUCUGGUGUCAAA
rnacentral:rRNA from 1 species